GUCUCUGUAGCGCAAUGGAUAGCGUAGCGGAAUUUUAAUCCACAGGUCGUGGGCUCGAAUCCCACCUGGGAUG